ensembl:lncRNA LINC00659 long intergenic non-protein coding RNA 659
AUCUGGGCUGCAGUUGGUGACUGCUCGAAGGGGUGGGAGGAACAGUAUAAAGUCCUGUCCCCUUCCUGCCUUCAAGGGCACCCCUGAAGGACCAUAUCCACUGUGGACCCCCUUGGGAUCAGCCGAGGUCUGUAGAGCUUUUCACACUCUCUGUUGCCCUUGUCCUUGGGCAUCUCAGUGACUCGAAGGAAUUGGGUCUUGAGACACAGCCGAGCCUGUGAGCGCUGACCUGUGUAAAGAAGACACCAGAAUGAGAUGUCUCCACACACAGAGAGCUGCAGCCGAUGCCGGCCGGUGACUUGGGACUUGGAUGCUUAACAGGAGGCUCCCCCUCUCUUGGGAGGUAGAGAGCAGUGAGGAAGGGGACUCAGCCUCCAUGCCUCCCGCCAGCCCAGCUGCGCCCGAAUCACCUCCCUCCUGAAAGGAUGUCAGCCUCUGCUUGGACACCGUGGAGACAGGGCCCUCCUUGUGCUUCAGAAGCAUCAACGUGUCAGAAAAUCAUCUUCACGCCAAGUCUGGAAAAAAUGGCUUUGAGGUUGUGCACACAAAGGAAGGAGGGAGAGCCCCAGGUGUCGCGGAGGACCAUGCGGCUGACAGAGCCAGCAGGGCGGUGGCGUGUGAGCCGUGCUCUGGAUAUAUAAGGAUCUGACGCUGCUGGCAAUGUCUGAGCUCUAUGCUCGCCCAUCUGUCGGCUGCUAUCAUCACCGGGUGGGAUUAGCGGAGAUCCACUCUUUCAUAUUUAAAUCUUCACAAGAGAAUGAAUCACUUUUAUAAUAAAAGAAAAAGACCGUC